rnacentral:rRNA from 1 species
GUGGCGAACGGGUGAGUAACACGUGAGCAACCUGCCCCUGACUCUGGGAUAAGCGCUGGAAACGGCGUCUAAUACUGGAUAUGUGACGUGACCGCAUGGUCUGCGUCUGGAAAGAAUUUCGGUUGGGGAUGGGCUCGCGGCCUAUCAGCUUGUUGGUGAGGUAAUGGCUCACCAAGGCGUCGACGGGUAGCCGGCCUGAGAGGGUGACCGGCCACACUGGGACUGAGACACGGCCCAGACUCCUACGGGAGGCAGCAGUGGGGAAUAUUGCACAAUGGGCGCAAGCCUGAUGCAGCAACGCCGCGUGAGGGACGACGGCCUUCGGGUUGUAAACCUCUUUUAGCAGGGAAGAAGCGAAAGUGACGGUACCUGCAGAAAAAGCGCCGGCUAACUACGUGCCAGCAGCCGCGGUAAUACGUAGGGCGCAAGCGUUAUCCGGAAUUAUUGGGCGUAAAGAGCUCGUAGGCGGUUUGUCGCGUCUGCUGUGAAAUCCGGAGGCUCAACCUCCGGCCUGCAGUGGGUACGGGCAGACUAGAGUGCGGUAGGGGAGAUUGGAAUUCCUGGUGUAGCGGUGGAAUGCGCAGAUAUCAGGAGGAACACCGAUGGCGAAGGCAGAUCUCUGGGCCGUAACUGACGCUGAGGAGCGAAAGGGUGGGGAGCAAACAGGCUUAGAUACCCUGGUAGUCCACCCCGUAAACGUUGGGAACUAGUUGUGGGGUCCAUUCCACGGAUUCCGUGACGCAGCUAACGCA